GGCUUACGUUGUUACUAUUACAAUGGAUUUUUCCUUCAUUGCCAUUCCCAUAAAUUUUUUCACUAUGAGUUAUUUUCUCUCUUGCAAUUUUCUUUUGUUGUACUUGUUUCUGCAUUUUUAGUUGUUGCUCUUUUCUGCUUCCGAACAGUUUCUAUCAGAAUGGGUUAUCUUGGAUGGCUUCUGCCGCUGUCAGUAUUCUUUUCGGUAACAGGAAAAAGAUUUGUUAUUUCUCCUAAUGUGGAAGAAGGGACCCAUUCGCUUAGGCCUUUUACAUCGUCAUACACGGUGUGCGUGCGUGUCUCUUUCAUACUUCUAUACUAUCCUAAUUGAUGGAUCUUAGGGUUGACUCAUUUGUUGUAGCAAAUGCAAUAGUUUCGCGGCAAACACAAAAAUGUCGUAUCAAUGUCCAUGUUGGGGGAAUAUGGAGUGCGCUGAAAUUUCUUUCUCACUUGCUGGUGUAUCAAUUCUUGCACCAUUAUAAGUGUUCCUCCUAAGUGCUGUGGAGUUCUUGGUUUUGUGGUGCUAAUAGACUUCUUCAGGAUACCAGAGUUGGUUGAAUAGUGGAUUAAAUGUGUAUAUGCUUUCUAAUGAAAGGGGAACAGAUAUCAUAAGAAGGGAUUUUUAGCCUAUUCGGUUAUAGGAGCCUUUAUCUUGUUGGUGUACAGUUGGGUCACUAUCAUUUUUUGGGAAAGGUUAUCAUUCCACAUUUAGAAGCAAUCAUAUGACAGUCAUUAAAGUGUGGCUAGUUGCUUUUCUGUUAUGGUUAUUGACUUUGCUUGUUGAUUGAGUCCCAGCCAAUUUCUAAUGCAAGCAGAAUGGUUCAAGCUCACAAAUCAACAAUCAAGAAUUGCAAGUGAACAAACUCAGAAUUGCAAAGAUAAUUGACUAAAUAGUGUACUGAAUUACUGCUUACACUGAUUGAAUGAAAGAAAUACAGUAUGAGCUGUGAUGCAAACAGCUUGACUGCCCAACAGAAUUGAAGAGAAAUACAAAACAGAAGCAGAAAAAUAAGCUAAGUUCCUGGCAAAUUCAAGAGUGCCAGGAACAUCCUGAUAUCAAUAUUCUGUCCUCCCCCAUACUUCCCAUGCCCUACCCUUUUAUUCCUUUCUCCACCAAAACAACCACGUGGUCCCUAUAAUUGGUUACUGGAAUCUUCCUGAUUUAUCUUUUUUUUCUUUUUCUAAUCGCACUUUGUUGGUUGGUGAUCUUGAAUUAUUAGGGCUUUAUAACUUGUGGAUAGGCACAUUGAAAGAGUUCCACACAGAAUGUGCAACCAGGCUUAUGUUACUUGGGUGUUGUCUCUGAAUUUACAGCUUUUAGGAGGCUUCAUGAUAUCUCAGUAGUUCCCUGUAUGCAGAAUUACAGAACUUGAAGUAGCAUUUAUCCGCGACUUUCUGGCUUCAUUUCUUCUGGUGAGCAUAAAUGCUUGUUAUUCAUUUCCAAAGUGUUUGUCUUACUUCCCAAACUCAAAACAAUAGUCUAUGGUGCACUUGUACAAAUUAUUUAUACAAGCAAAUCUGUACAAAGGCUGGUAAACAUCUCAGUAGAUACACUAUUUGCCUCAACAAUCUCGGCCCUCUAAAUCUUGUCAUAACAAGAAUCGCUUUAAGCAAAAUUGUCGAUAUCUUCAUCUGUGGCCAGAAAGUGCCAUACAUUAUUGGCCUCGGAAAUGAGGCACGUGCACAGUUUAUGUAAAAUUUAACCUAGAUUAUAUGCGAUGUAUAAUGUGUAA